rnacentral:rRNA from 1 species
GACGAACGCUGGCGGCGUGCCUAAUACAUGCAAGUAGAACGCUGAAGGAGGAGCUUGCUUCUCUGGAUGAGUUGCGAACGGGUGAGUAACGCGUAGGUAACCUGCCUGGUAGCGGGGGAUAACUAUUGGAAACGAUAGCUAAUACCGCAUAAGAGUAGAUGUUGCAUGACAUUUGCUUAAAAGGUGCAAUUGCAUCACUACCAGAUGGACCUGCGUUGUAUUAGCUAGUUGGUGGGGUAACGGCUCACCAAGGCGACGAUACAUAGCCGACCUGAGAGGGUGAUCGGCCACACUGGGACUGAGACACGGCCCAGACUCCUACGGGAGGCAGCAGUAGGGAAUCUUCGGCAAUGGACGGAAGUCUGACCGAGCAACGCCGCGUGAGGGAAGAAGGUUGUCGGAUCGUAAAGCUCUGUUGUAAGAGAAGAACGAGUGUGAGAGUGGAAAGUUCACACUGUGACGGUAUCUUACCAGAAAGGGACGGCUAACUACGUG